AGGAAGAUGAUGACUUUUAUUUGUGGGGACUAUUAGAUUUUAAAAUAAAUAGAUUAUUGUUUUAUUAUUAUAAUAGAAAUAAUUGUUGUUGUGAUAGUAUAUUAGUACUGUGAGGGAAUUUAAAUUUUUGUUAAGAAGAAGAUUUAAUUUAUCGUACCUUGUGUAUCAGGGUUUAUCAAUUAAAUUUUAUGAAUAUAAUUAUUUCGAACUUAGAAGAGCUAAUUGUUUAUAAAUUUUAUUGUAAAAUAAAUACUUAUAAUUUGCAGUUUGCAGCGAAAUACUAUUCGUUUCUAAAUAUAUCUAGUUUUUUAAGAAAUAGAUUUAAUCUAUCUUAUUUUAUAUAAUUUUUUAUAUUUUUAAUAUUUUAUAUAGAUAAAGCAAUAAUUUAGGGGAUGAGCUUUAGAUUAAAUAUUUAUAAAUUGUAAAUUUUAUUUAAUGUAAAUAGGAUUAGAAAUGUUCAUUUUUAGAAGGUUGUUAUAAUUUUCAUUAAGUUGAAUAUUUUUUAUAUUAGUUUUAAAUUUUUUAUUAAAAUAAUAGCUUUAAUAGAUUUUGCUAAGCAAUAAUGAUAAAAUUAGUAUAUUAAGGUGUUCUUUCAAGGAAAAGACUAGAGGUUAGCAAAAGGAAUUCGGCAAAAGAUUUUCUACCUGUUUAUUAAAAACAUGGCUUUUUGAUUAUAAUUUAAAGUCUGGCCUGCCCACUGAUUAUUUGAAUGGCCGCGGUAAUUUGACCGUGCAAAGGUAGCAUAAUAAUUAGUUUUUUAAUUGAAAGCUGGAAUGAAUGGUUUGAUGAGAAAAUAACUGUCUCUUGCUAAAUUAAUUAGAAUUUUACUUUUAAGUAAAAAGGCUUAAAUAUAGUUAAAAGACGAGAAGACCCUAUAGAGUUUAAUAUUUUCUUGAUUAGACUUUUUUAGAAUUAUCUGUUUAUAACCAAGAAAAUAUUUGGUUGGGGUGAUCGAAAAAUUAAAUAAACUUUUUCUUUUUAAUUUCACUGAUGUGUGGAUAAUUGAUCCAGGUUUCCUGAUUACAAGACAAAAUUACCUUAGGGAUAACAGCGUUAUUCUUUCUAAGAGUUCUAAUCGAAGAAGGAGUUUGCGACCUCGAUGUUGGAUUAAAAUUAAGUUCUGGUGCAGAAGCUAGAAUAUUAGGUCUGUUCGACCUUUAAAAUUUUACAUGAUCUGAGUUUAGACCGGCGUGAGCCAGGUUGGUUUCUAUCUUUAAUAAAGCAAAAUAUUUUAGUACGAAAGGACCAAAUAUUUAAUAAAUUAUUUUUUUCCUAGGAUAUCAAU
rnacentral:rRNA from 1 species